rnacentral:rRNA from 1 species
GUGCCAGCCGCCGCGGUAAUACGGAGGGUGCGAGCAUUAAUCGGAUUUAUUGGGCGUAAAGGGCGCGUAGGCGGAUUGGUAAGUCGGAUGUGAAAGCCCGGGGCUCAACCCCGGAACGGCAUUCGAAACUGCCUAUCUAGAGGAUGGACGGAGAAAACGGAAUUCCACAAGUAGCGGUGAAAUGCGUAGAUAUGUGGAAGAACACCGGUGGCGAAAGCGGUUUUCUAGUUUAUUCCUGACGCUGAGGCGCGAAAGCUAGGGGAGCAAACAGGAUUAGAUACCCUGGUAGUCCUAGCCGUAAACGAUGUAUACUUGGUGUAAUUGGAUUCAACCCCGAUUGUGCCGAAGCUAACGCGAUAAGUAUACCGCCUGAGGAGUACAGUCGCAAGGCUGAA